UACAGAGGUGGCAAGCGUUGCUCGGUAUCACUGGGCUUAAAGGGCGCGUAGGCGGUGCGGUACGGUUUCGGUGAAAUCCCUCGGCCCAACCGAGGAACAGCCGGAGCUACGGCCGGACUAGACGGCAUCAGGGGACAGUGGAACUCCCGGUGGAGCGGUGAAAUGCGUAGAUAUCUGGAGGAACACCGGUGGCGAAGGCGGCAUCCUGGACCGACACUGACGCUGAGGAGCGAAAGCCAGGGGAGCAAACGGG
rnacentral:rRNA from 1 species